UAGGGAAUCUUCCACAAUGGACGAAAGUCUGAUGGAGCAACGCCGCGUGAGUGAAGAAGGUUUUCGGAUCGUAAAGCUCUGUUGUUGGUGAGAAGGAUAGAGGCAGUAACUGGUCUUUAUUUGACGGUAAUCAACCAGAAAGUCACGGCUAACUACGUGCCAG
rnacentral:rRNA from 1 species